rnacentral:tmRNA from 1 species
GGGGCUGAUUCUGGAUUCGACGGGAUUUGCGAAACCCAAGGUGCAUGCCGAGGGGCGGUUGGCCUCGUAAAAAGCCGCAAAAAAUAGUCGCAAACGACAAAAACUACGCUUUAGCAGCUUAAUAACCUGCUUAGAGCCCUCUCUCCCUAGCCUCCGCUCUUAGGACGGGGAUCAAGAGAGGUCAAACCCAAAAGAGAUCGCGUGGAAGCCCUGCCUAGGGUUGAAGCGUUAAAACUUAAUCAGGCUAGUUUGUUAGUGGCGUGUCCGUCCGCAGCUGGCAAGCGAAUGUAAAGACUGACUAAGCAUGUAGUACCGAGGAUGUAGGAAUUUCGGACGCGGGUUCAACUCCCGCCAGCUCCACCA